CACUAACAUACAGCCAACUCACAAUAAUAACCGAUUAUGAAUAUGGAUUGAUGAAAGCUAUAAAAACUAUAUUUCCUGAAAGCGAUCAACAAGGGCAAUAAUACGUUUUAUUAGAAAUAAAAAAACUAGUAUUUACCACUUGAUUACUAAAAAUCCAAUUGCUGCCAGAGUGUUGAGAAUGGUAUUGGCUUUACCAUAUUUGCCUGCAGUAAAAACUGAUGAUAUCCCAUCAAUGGAGGAUGGAUUUCAAACAAUUGUUGAUUAUGUGAACCAAUUUCCCAAUUUAAUGAUGUGUCUUGAGGAAUUUUUAUUCGAUUAUAUUUGGAGAUAUUGGUUUGAAACGAUGGGACCUACGGCAAUAACAGUUUUUAAAAAAGAUAUCCGAACAAAUAACUUCGUUGAAAGUUACCAUGCUUCAUUGUUAAGACUCAUCAAACCUCAUCCCAAAGUGUGGGAAUUAGACGAGCAAAAGUGUUCCCACCAGUGUUGCCAGACGUACGGUUUGGACCGUACUAAUAUGGUAAAUUUGGUCGUUGUACGGUGUACGGUAAUACAUUGAAAGCCGUACAGAAAUGUACGGUACUUACAGCU